CCUACGGGUGGCAGCAGUGAGGAAUAUUGGUCAAUGGACGAGAGUCUGAACCAGCCAAGUAGCGUGAAGGAUGACUGCCCUAUGGGUUGUAAACUUCUUUUAUAUGGGAAUAAAAUGUUCCACGUGUGGGAUUUUGUAUGUACCAUAUGAAUAAGGAUCGGCUAACUCCGUGCCAGCAGCCGCGGUAAUACGGAGGAUCCGAGCGUUAUCCGGAUUUAUUGGGUUUACAGGGAGCGUAGGUGGAUUGUUAAGUCAGUUGUGAAAGUUUGCGGCUCAACCGUAAAAUUGCAGUUGAAACUGGCAGUCUUGAGUACAGUAGAGGUGGGCGGAAUUCGUGGUGUAGCGGUGAAAUGCUUAGAUAUCACGAAGAACUCCGAUUGCGAAGGCAGUUCACUGGACUGCAACUGACACUGAGGCUCGAAAGUGUGGGUAUCAAACAGGAUUAGAUACCCUUGUAGUC
rnacentral:rRNA from 1 species